rnacentral:rRNA from 1 species
UUUUACGGCCACAUCAUGUUGUAAGCACGGGUUCUCAUUCGAUCAGUGAAUUAAGCAACGGUGAACUUAAUAAGUUAGCAGAUGGGAGAUCGCUUGGGAAACCUGUGUGCUGUAAGCA